GAUGAACGCUGGCGGCGUGCCUAAUACAUGCCAGUCGAGCGAACAGACGAGGAGCUUGCUCCUCUGACGUUAGCGGCGGAAGGGUGAGUAACACGUGGAUAACAUACCUAUAAGACUGGGAUAUCUUCGGGAAACCGGACCUAAUACCGGAUAAUAUAUUGAACCGCAUGGUUCAAUAGUGAAAGACGGAUUUGAUGUCACACAUCGAUGCAUCCGAGCCGCAUUAGCUAGUUGGUAAGGUAACGGCUUACAAAGACGACAAUGCGUAGCCGACCUAAGAGGGUGAUCGGCCACACGGUAACUGAGACACGGUCCAGACCCCUACGAGAGGCAGCAGUGGGGAAUCUUCCGCAAUGGGCGAAAGCCUGACGGAGCAACGCCGCGUGAGUGAUGAAGGUCUUCGGAUCGUAAAACUCUGUUAUUAGGGAAGAACAAAUGUGUAAGUAACUAUGCACGUCUUGACGGUACCUUAUCAGAAAGCCACGGCUAACUACGUG
rnacentral:rRNA from 1 species